CAUAGCGACUAUCGUGGCAUAUCAAUAAGCGGAGGAAAAGAAACUAACAAGGAUUCCCUUAGUAACGGCGAGUGAAGCGGGAAGAGCUCAAAUUUGAAAUCUUCAAGGGUUUACCUUGACGAAUUGUAGUUUAAAGAAGUGUUUUCUGUUAGAGAGGUUCGGUAAAAGUUCUUUGGAAUAGGACAUCAUAGAGGGUGAGAAUCCCGUAUUUGACCUAUUACUUUCCUAGCUGUGUGAUACACUUUCAAAGAGUCGGAUUGUUUGGGAAUGCAGUCCAAAAUGGGUGGUAAAUUUCAUCUAAAGCUAAAUAUUGGCGGAGAGACCGAUAGCGAACAAGUACCGUGAGGGAAAGAUGAAAAGAACUUUGAAAAGAGAGUUAAACAGUACGUGAAAUUGUCAAAAGGGAAGCGUUUGACACCAGUGUUGUUUUUCCGAAAAUCAAUUACGAAUGUUUUAUUUUUGAGAAGUUAUGACUUCAUCGGCUUGCUUCUUUCUUUACGAAACUUUCUUAAUGCACUUUUCGGUUAACAAGUCAACAUCAAUUUCUUUUGUUGUAAAAGGGUAUGAGGAAGGUGGCUUUCUUUUCGGAGAAAGUGUUUAUAGCCUUUGGCUUCUGCAGUCGGAGAGAUUGAGGUCUGCAGCGUAGAUCCUUCGGGGUUAGAUGCAUUUGUGCUAAGUUAUAGCCUUUCAUAGACGACUUGUUGACUAUGAUCAGUCAUGUAGCUUACUCGCUUAUGUCAUUUUACCUACGCUUAGGAUGUUGAUAUGCAUGACUGAUAU
rnacentral:rRNA from 1 species